GACGAACGCUGGCGGCGUGCUUAACACAUGCAAGUCGAACGGAAAGGCCCUGCUUUUGUGGGGUUCUCGAUUGGCGAACAGGUGAGUAACACGUGAGUAACCUGCCCUUGACUUUGGGAUAACUUCAGGAAACUGGGGCGAAUACCGGAUAGGAGCUCCUGCUGCAUGGUGUGGGUUGGAAAGUUUCGGCUGUUGUGGAUGGACUCGCUGCUUAUCAGCUUGUUGGGGAGGUAGUUGCGUACCAAGGCUUUGACGGGUAGCCUGCCUGGGAGGGUGAACGGCCACAUUGGGACUGAGAUACGGACCAGAAUCCUACGGGAGGCAGUAGUGGGGAAUAUUGCACAAUGGGCGGAAGCCUGAUGCAGAAACGCCGCGUGCGGGAUGACGGCCUUCGGGUUGUAAACAGCUUUCGCAUGUGACGAAGCGUGAGUGACGGUAAUGGGUAAAGAAGCACCGGCUAACUACGUG
rnacentral:rRNA from 1 species